UGGGAACAAAUAUAUGACAUACAUACCCGCGGUGGAAGAGGAAGACUCCUGAUCAUACGAUCGAGCCAUCCAGCCACCACUGCUAGCUUAUUACCAAAACACACAGGAUCUAUACAUAGAUAUAUAGAGAGCUACAACACACCAGUGGUUGUCACAUAUAGCUACCAACAAACACUCUGGAGAAACCAAAGCAUAUAAGAUCAUGUAUGAGUUAUUUAGGCACAGACAUAUAUUGAUCAAUCAUGUCACGUAUGGAUAAAUGGAUAGACACAUGCAUGUAGAGCUCCUGAUCCUUCAUUUAAUUGAGUUUGAUUCAAUUCAAUGGUGAACGCCUCCAGGAAGCUUGUCCUUGAUCAUGUCCAUCAUUCUUUUUGUUCUCAUGACCGGCUUCCAGCUGCUCUCCUUCUGCAGCUCCUUCAUAUGAUCCUUCACGACCACUACCUGCAGCAGGUGUACAAGUAGUUGAAGCCUGCUGGUCCUUUGUUUUCCCCGUCAGCUUCUCUUUUAUCUUCUCUGUUAUCCCUAUUUUCUUCUUCCUUCUUCCCCUUCUCCAUCAUCCUCAGACUGGCAUAUAUGUUCAUCACAUUAACAACAAUUUACACCAACAUAGUACUACUUAAUCAUACGCAGUAUAUAUAUUUAUAUAACUCUUACAGAGCCGGAGCUGUUGCUACUGGUGCGGUGAUGCUGCUGUCCAUGUGUAUUGGUUUCAGUACUGAAAAUGAGGAUCUCCCCCCAAACCACCGGUGCCUGUGACGGUGCCAGUUCUGCCAUACUCAUCUGUUUGGCUUAGAACUGGAUUGCCAUAAGCAUCUGUCCGGCUCCCAUAUUGCUCUCCAUUGUUUGCCAAUUUUACCAAAAAGCUAGUGCGACUUGAAUCAAACUAAGCUCAACAAGUACUCUCUAGAUGGUUGUGAUAGUAGUGAAGUGGUGAAGAUGAUGGUUGUGAGUUGAGGGUUUAUAUAGGCAAGGGAAGUGGAGGGAAUUGAAGAGGAUACUGACACGUUAGAGGUUAUUGUGGCAAGCAGUGAUCAGUCUACUGCAUCCUGUAGGAUUCGUCCUAAUCGUGUGUACUGGGUUUUGCUGAGAUUUGUUUUGAAGUGUUAUGACUGAGAAAGGAAUUCAUGUGUACUGGGUUAACCAGAGAUUUGUCUUGCAUUGUUAUGACUGAUACAGGAAUUCAUGUGUACUGGGUUUUGCUGAGAUUUGAGAUUUGUUUUGCAGUGUUAUGACUGAGACUAGAAUUGCUCGCGUGUACUAGGUUUUGCUGAGAUAUUUGUUAUAACCGUCCGCUUACAUAUAUAUUGAAACUUGACUGCGUCCAGAAAAUAAAACCAAACAAAUGUUAGAUUUAUAUGAAAGUGGUUAAGAUGAAAUUUAUUUUGGGGUAAAUUGGCCAAUUAACCAAUAAAAUACUGACACGCAGGCGAUGUUGUAUGUGUGUUAGUAUUCUAUUGACCAAUUGACCAACUUACCAAAAAAAAAUAACUUCAGACUAACAUAGAUGUGCUACGUACCGAUCAAUCAUAAUUCAUUCAUACUCCAACAACUUUUGGAUACAGAACGGCGUUAUCAUUGGUCAUCAUGAUGAUGAUAGAUAUAUAAACACUAAAAUUUGAGAUGUAAGUUUUAGAUAUUGAUUAAACAAAGAGUAGAUAAUAAUUAAACAAUAUUAUUGGAAUAUAACAUGUUGUGUUAUCAGGCGCGCAGAGUAUAUAAAAACAUUGGUUCAUAAUGUAUGUGUGACUAAUUAAAACAUCAAAUAAAAAAUCCCAAUAAGAACCAAGUCUACAAUCCCAACACGGGAUUGAAUGAAUGAGAAAGUUGAU
rnacentral:lncRNA from 1 species